UACGGAGGGUGCGAGCGUUGUCCGGAAUCACUGGGCGUAAAGGGCGCGUAGGCGGCAUGCCAAGCGUGUGGUGAAAGCCCGGGGCUCAACCCCGGGUCGGCCGUGCGGACUGGCGUGCUCGAGCACUGUAGGGGCGGGUGGAAUUCCGGGUGUAGCGGUGGAAUGCGUAGAGAUCCGGAAGAACACCGGUGGCGAAGGCGGCCCGACUGGGCAGGAACGGCU
rnacentral:rRNA from 1 species